rnacentral:rRNA from 1 species
UACGAAGGGGGCUAGCGUUGCUCGGAAUCACUGGGCGUAAAGGGUGCGUAGGCGGGUCUUAAGUCAGGGGUGAAAUCCUGGAGCUCAACUCCAGAACUGCCUUUGAUACUGAAGAUCUUGAGUUCGGGAGAGGUGAGUGGAACUGCGAGUGUAGAGGUGAAAUUCGUAGAUAUUCGCAAGAACACCAGUGGCGAAGGCGGCUCACUGGCCCGUAUACACGCUGAGGCACGAAAGCGUGGGGAGCAAACAGGG